GAUGAACGCUGGCGGCGUGCCUAAUACAUGCAAGUCGAGCGAACGGACGAGAAGCUUGCUUUUCUGAUGUUAGCGGCGGACGGGUGAGUAACACGUGGAUAACCUACCUAUAAGACUGGGAUAACUUCGGGAAACCGGAGCUAAUACCGGAUAAUAUUUUGAACCGCAUGGUUCAAAAGUGAAAGACGGUCUUGCUGUCACUUAUAGAUGGAUCCACGCUGCAUUAGCUAGUUGGUAAGGUAACGGCUUACCAAGGCAACGAUGCAUAGCCGACCUGAGAGGGUGAUCGGCCACACUGGAACUGAGACACGGUCCAGACUCCUACGGGAGGCAGCAGUAGGGAAUCUUCCGCAAUGGGCGAAAGCCUGACGGAGCAACGCCGCGUGAGUGAUGAAGGUCUUCGGAUCGUAAAACUCUGUUAUUAGGGAAGAACAUAUGUGUAAGUAACUGUGCACAUCUUGACGGUACCUAAUCAGAAAGCCACGGCUAACUACGUG
rnacentral:rRNA from 1 species